GCCUGGGUGGCUCAGCCGGUUAAGCAUCUGACUUCGGCUCAGGUCAUGAUCUCACAGUUUGUGAGUUCAAGCCCCACAUUGGGCU
rnacentral:tRNA from 1 species